UACGGGAGGCAGCAGGGGAAUAUUGCACAAUGGGCGCAAGCCUGAUGCAGCCAUGCCGCGUGUAUGAAAAAGGCCUUCGGGUUGUAAAGUACUUUCAGUCGUGAGGAAGGUGUUAAGGUUAAUAACCUUAGCAAUUGACGUUAGCGACAGAAGAAGCACCGGCUAACUCCGUGCCAGCAGCCGCGGUAAUACGGAGGGUGCGAGCGUUAAUCGGAAUUACUGGGCGUAAAGGGCACGCAGGCGGUUAAUUAAGUUGGAUGUGAAAUCCCCGGGCUUAACCUGGGAAUGGCAUUCAAGACUGGUUAGCUAGAGUCUUGUAGAGGGGGUAGAAUUCCAUGUGUAGCGGUGAAAUGCGUAGAGAUGUGGAGGAAUACCGGUGGCGAAGGCGGCCCCUGGACAAAGACUGACGCUCAUGUGCGAAAGCGUGGGGAGCAAACAGGGAUUAGAUACC
rnacentral:rRNA from 1 species